rnacentral:rRNA from 1 species
CCCUAUGGGGUGCAGCAGGCACUUGAGGAUGGUAUCCGGAUUGGUGGGACCGUAGAGGACGGAGCAGAGCUGCAGGACCGUUUUUUCCAGGGGUAAAAGGGUUUCAUAGGCUUCGAGAAAGUUUUCGAUCGUAUUUUUCUUCAUGGACAACUUCGAUCCCUUUCUAAUGAACGGAUUCGGCUACUCCUUGGCCUUACUGACACAGUAAAAAGCCAGGACGAAAAGCAGGCUGCCCAGGCCUGCAAGGAGCAGAUAGGAAAAGGGUUGGGGAGCCUCACCAUAGGCGGCGCCCCGAAUGGCAUGGGCGGCAUGGGUGAGGGGUAAAAAAUCGAGGACCUUCUGGGCCCACAGGGGCAUACGAUCGAUCGGGAAAAAGGUCCCCCCCAGGAAGGCCAUGGGGGUGAUGAAAAAAUUGGCGGGAGAGC